rnacentral:rRNA from 1 species
CCUACGGGUGGCAGCAGUUAGGAAUAUUGGGCAAUGGAGGAAACUCUGACCCAGCAACGCCGCGUGCAGGAAGACGGUUUUCGGAUUGUAAACUUCUUAUCUGUGGGACGAAGAAAGUGACGGUACCACAUGAGAAAGCCACGGCUAACUACGUGCCAGCAGCCGCGGUAAUACGUAGGUGGCGAGCGUUCUCCGGAAUAACUGGGUGUAAAGGGUGCGUAGGUGGUUGAGUAAGUUAAAUGUGAAAGCCCAGGGCUCAACUCUGGAACUGCAUUUAAUACUGGUCGGCUAGAGUGCAGGAGGGGUAGGCGGAAUUUAUAGUGUAGCGGUGAAAUGCGUAGAGAUUAGGAAGAACACCGAAGGCGAAGGCAGUUUACUGGGCUGCAACUGACACUGAGGCUCGAAAGCGUGGGGAGCAAACAGGAUUAGAUACCCUAGUAGUC